rnacentral:rRNA from 1 species
GACGAACGCUGGCGGCGUGCUUAACACAUGCAAGUCGAACGCUGAAGCUUGGUGCUUGCACUGGGUGGAUGAGUGGCGAACGGGUGAGUAUACGUGAGUAACCUGCCCUUGACUCUGGGAUAAGCCUGGGAAACUGGGUCUAAUACUGGAUACGACAUGCCACUGCAUGGUGGUGUGUGGAAAGGGUUUUACUGGUUUUGGAUGGGCUCACGGCCUAUCAGCUUGUUGGUGGGGUAAUGGCCUACCAAGGCGACGACGGGUAGCCGGCCUGAGAGGGUGACCGGCCACACUGGGACUGAGACACGGCCCAGACUCCUACGGGAGGCAGCAGUGGGGAAUAUUGCACAAUGGGCGGAAGCCUGAUGCAGCGACGCCGCGUGAGGGAUGACGGCCUUCGGGUUGUAAACCUCUUUCAGCACGGAAGAAGCGAGAGUGACGGUACGUGCAGAAGAAGCGCCGGCUAACUACGUG